rnacentral:rRNA from 1 species
AUUGAACGCUGGCGGCAAGCCUAACACAUGCAAGUCGAACGAGUGGCGGACGGGUGAGUAAUGUCUGGGAAACUGCCUGAUGGAGGGGGAUAACUACUGGAAACGGUAGCUAAUACCGCAUACCAUCGGAUGUGCCCAGAUGGGAUUAGCUAGUAGGUGGGGUAAAGGCUCACCUAGGCGACGAUCCCUAGCUGGUCGGAGAGGAUGACCAGCCCAACUGGAACUGAGACACGGUCAGGACUCCUAGGGGAGGCAGCAGUGGGGAAUAUGGCAAAAUGGGCGCAAGCCUGAUGCAGCCAUGCCGGGUGUAUGAAGAAGGCCUUCGGGUGUUAAAGUACUUUCAGCGGGGAGGCGUUACCCGCAGAAGAAGCACCGGCUAACUCCGUGCCAGCAGCCGCGGUAAUAC